GGGGAGGUGGCUGAGAGGCUGAAAGCGCCCGCCUGCUAAGCGGGUGAGGGAUGUUAAGUUCCUCCGGGGGUUCGAAUCCCCCCCUUCCCGCCA
rnacentral:tRNA from 1 species